CAAUCUGCGCCUCUGAUUACUCCAACCAUUUCCUCGAUCUCUCAUUUCCCAGAUACUGAUGAAGUCCUUUCCCAACGAAGUCUUGUUUCUUCCCAUCUGUCCAGUCCAUACCACAGCCCAGUUCUCUGAAUCUGUCUCUCCUCUUUCGCUUCGGGUUUGGGUUUGGCCUCGAACUCCCUCCACUUUAAGGUUUUCAUCCCUUAAAGUACCGAUCAACAAACGCAUUUACUCGCUGCAACUCAAAAGAACACCUCACACACAAGUUAGUAGACAAUUAACC
rnacentral:lncRNA from 1 species